rnacentral:rRNA from 1 species
UUCAUGGAGAGUUUGAUCCUGGCUCAGGAUGAACGCUGGCGGCGUGCCUAAUACAUGCAAGUCGAGCGAACAGACGAGGAGCUUGCUCCUCUGACGUUAGCGGCGGACGGGUGAGUAACACGUGGAUAACCUACCUAUAACACGUGGAUCACGUG